AUCUGGUUACCUCUGCACAACACAGAGGACAGGUUGAGGAGGACAGAAAGCUGAGGGGUUUCUUCAGGGAAAAAUAAUCUUAGUGUAGCAUCCCUGUAAGCCGGCCUCUGUUUUACUUGAAGGGACUUGCUUGGAUUUCUUCAAAUCCAUCAUUUGUGUCGUGUCAGGCCAUGACUAUUUAUCUCUGUGAUGAAUACUUAAUGCAAAUGGAAAGCCAUCCUGAGGGAGGCUGGCAUCCGUACCUACUGAGAAGGCCAGUAAACGGUGUGUGAAGCACCAACGUCAAAAGCCAUUAACACAAAUGAAAAUUAACAUUUUUCAUCAAGGUCUAAUAGUACACCAACAGAUCAUUAAAAAGCUUAAUAUUUAUAUCUCUAGUGAUGAGGUUCCAUCUGGAAUUUAAGGAUUUAAUUCAUGGUUUUGAAUUUUACCUUUUUCACUGUUAGAGCACAAAAGAAAAACUAUCGCACCAUGAAAGUCCUCUAUCAUGUGAAUAGUGUCCAUACACAUACAACAGUGAAAUAUGACCAAGCAGCAAUAAUGAAACAGUCACCCUUUUCCUCAUGAUAGCCAUGUACAUUCUCAGCUCUCCAAUUCGUUGCCACCGUUAGCUCUGUUUUAUUUAUUGUGCCUGAAGCCUGAUUUCCAAUGGGAGGCCUUGUAUAAUGGAAUGCCAGUAGACUUCUAGCUCCCUGUGAUUUAGAUGCCAGCUUUAUUCUCCAUAAUAAAAGGAGAGAACUAGACACACAUAAUGAGAAAAUACAUUUUAUCUACUGGCCAAUGUUCAUAUGUUGAAGGUUAGAAGGGCUUUGGUUUUCAGCUGUCACUAAAUUUCACAGAGUUGGUGACAUAAUUUCACACCUUCCUGUGGAUAAUAAUAAUGACAGGAGAAUUUUAAAUGAGAGAUUUGACAUUUGGCUAUAGUGAAGUUUACUACAGCCAUCAAAGAAUGUUAUCUCAGUGAUCAAAUACAAAACAAAAAUUAAAUACAGCAUUAUACAGGAGUAGUUAUUUAUCUUCACCCAUCAUAUUGUGAAGGAAAUUAUUGUAUCAAUAAAAAUGAAAUAAAAAAUAGUCUGGUGUUAUAGC